rnacentral:rRNA from 1 species
AUUGAACGCUGGCGGCAGGCCUAACACAUGCAAAUCGAGCGGCUGAAGGGAGCUUGCUCCUGGAUUCAGCGGCGGACGGGUGAGUAAUGCCUAGGAAUCUGCCUGGUAGUGGGGGAUAACGUCCGGAAACGGGCGCUAAUACCGCAUACGUCCUGAGGGAGAAAGUGGGGGAUCUUCGGACCUCCCGCUAUCACAUGAGCCUAGGUCGGAUUAGCUAGUUGGUGGGGUAAAGGCCUACCAAGGCGACGAUCCGUAACUGGUCUGAGAGGAUGAUCAGUCACACUGGAACUGAGACACGGUCCAGACUCCUACGGGAGGCAGCAGUGGGGAAUAUUGGACAAUGGGCGAAAGCCUGAUCCAGCCAUGCCGCGUGUGUGAAGAAGGUCUUCGGAUUGUAAAGCACUUUAAGUUGGGAGGAAGGGCAGUAAGUUAAUACCUUGCUGUUUUGACGUUACCAACAGAAUAAGCACCGGCUAACUUCGUG